rnacentral:misc_RNA from 1 species
UCUCCGUUGGUGAACCAGCGGAGGGAUCAUUACCGAGUUUACAACUCCCAAACCCCCGUGAACAUACCUAUCGUUGCCUCGGCGGUGCCCGCUCCGGCGGCCCGCCAGAGGACCCCCAAACUCUUGUUUUAUACAGUAUCUUCUGAGUAACACGAUUAAAUAAAUCAAAACUUUCAACAACGGAUCUCUUGGUUCUG